rnacentral:rRNA from 1 species
AGCGAACGCUGGCGGCAGGCUUAACACAUGCAAGUCGAGCGGGCAUAGCAAUAUGUCAGCGGCAGACGGGUGAGUAACGCGUGGGAACGUACCUUUUGGUUCGGAACAACACAGGGAAACUUGUGCUAAUACCGGAUAAGCCCUUACGGGGAAAGAUUUAUCGCCGAAAGAUCGGCCCGCGUCUGAUUAGCUAGUUGGUGAGGUAAUGGCUCACCAAGGCGACGAUCAGUAGCUGGUCUGAGAGGAUGAUCAGCCACAUUGGGACUGAGACACGGCCCAAACUCCUACGGGAGGCAGCAGUGGGGAAUAUUGGACAAUGGGCGCAAGCCUGAUCCAGCCAUGCCGCGUGAGUGAUGAAGGCCCUAGGGUUGUAAAGUUUUUUUGUGCGGGAAGAUAAUGACGGUACCCGCAAGAAUAAGCCCCGGCUAACUUCGUGCCAGCAGCGGCGGUAAUACGAAGGGGGCUAGCGUUGCUCGGAAUCACUGGGCGUAAAGGGGGCGUAGGCGGGUCUUUUAAGUCAGGGGUGAAAACCCUGGAGCCCAACUCCAGAACUUGCCUUUUGAUACUGAAGAUCUUGAGUUCGGGAGAGGUGAGUGGGAACUGCGAGUGUAGAGGGUGAAAAUUCGUAGAUAUUCGCAAAAACCACCCAGUGGCGAAGGGGGCUUCACUGGCCCCGAUACUGACGCUGAGGCACGAAAGCGUGGGAGCAAACAGG